AUUGAACGCUGGCGGCAGGCUUAACACAUGCAAGUCGAACGAUGAAGAUAUAGCUUUGCUAUAUUGGAUUAGUGGCGGACGGGUGAGUAACACUUAGGAAUCUACCUUUUAGCGGGGGAUAGCUCGGGGAAACUCGAAUUAAUACCGCAUAAUUUCUACGGAAUAAAGAGGGCUUUUAGCUCUCACUAGAAGAUGAGCCUAAGUAAGAUUAGCUAGUUGGUGGGGUAAAAGCCUACCAAGGCGACGAUCUUUAGCUGGUCUGAGAGGAUGAUCAGCCACACUGGGACUGAGACACGGCCCAGACUCCUACGGGAGGCAGCAGUGGGGAAUAUUGGACAAUGGGGGCAACCCUGAUCCAGCCAUGCCGCGUGUGUGAAGAAGGCCUUUUGGUUGUAAAGCACUUUAAGCAGUGAAGAAGACCUAUUGGUUAAUACCCAAUAGCGGAUGACAUUAACUGCAGAAUAAGCACCGGCUAACUCUGUGCCAGCAGCCGCGGUAAUACAGAGGGUGCAAGCGUUAAUCGGAAUUACUGGGCGUAAAGCGAGCGUAGGUGGUUAAAUAAGUCAGAUGUGAAAGCCCUGGGCUCAACCUAGGAACGGCAUCUGAAGCUAUUUAACUAGAGUAGGUGAGAGGGAAGUAGAAUUUCAGGUGUAGCGGUGAAAUGCGUAGGGAUCUGAAGGAAUACCGAUGGCGAAGGCAGCUUCCUGGCAUCAUACUGACACUGAGGCUCGAAAGCGUGGGUAGCAAACAGGAUUAGAUACCCUGGUAGUCCACGCCGUAAACGAUGUCUACUAGCCGUUGGGGAACUUGAUUCCUUAGUGGCGCAGCUAACGCAAUAAGUAGACCGCCCUGGGGAGUACGGGCCGCAAGGUUAAAACUCAAAUGAAUUGACGGGGGCCCGCACAAGCGGUGGAGCAUGUGGUUUAAUUCGAUGCAACGCGAAGAACCUUACCUGGUCUUGACAUACACAGAAUCUAGCAGAGAUGCAAGAGUGCCUUCGGGAAUUGUGAUACAGGUGCUGCAUGGCUGUCGUCAGCUCGUGUCGUGAGAUGUUGGGUUAAGUCCCGCAACGAGCGCAACCCUUAUCCUUAGUUGCCAGCACGUAAUGGUGGGGACUCUAAGGAGACUGCCAGUGGCAAACUGGAGGAAGGCGGGGACGACGUCAGUCAUCAUGGCCCUUACGACCAGGGCUACACACGUGCUACAAUGGUAAGUACAAAAGGAAGCAACACAGCGAUGUGA
rnacentral:rRNA from 1 species